rnacentral:rRNA from 1 species
GGCGGGGGAGCACCACAAGGGGUGAAGCCUGCGGUUUCAUUGGAGUCAACGCCAGAAAUCUUAGCCGGAGAGACAGCAGAAUGAAGGUCAAGCUGAAGACUUUACCAGACAAGCUGAGAGGUGGUGCAUGGCCGUCGUCAGCUCGUGCCCUGAGAUGUCCUGUUAAGUCAGGUAACGAGCGAGAUCCCUGCCUCUAGUUGCCACCAUUACUUACAGGAGUAGUGGGGCGAAUUAGCGGGACCGCCGCAGUUACUGCGGAGGAAGGAAGGGGCCACGGCAGGUCAGUAUGCCCCGAAACUCUGGGGCCACACGCGGGCUGCAAUGGUAAUGACAAUGGGUCUCAAAUCCGAAAGGAAGAGGUAAUCCUCAAACAUUACCACAGUUAUGACUGAGGGCUGCAACUCGCCCUCACGAAUAUGGAAUCCCUAGUAACUGCGUGUCAUUAUCGCGCGGUGAAUACGUCCCUGCUCCUUGCACACACCGCCCGUCGUUUCAUUGAAGUGAGCUUUUAGUGAUGGUGACGCCUGAUUGGCGUUAUCGAACUGA